rnacentral:Y_RNA from 1 species
UGCAGUCUGAGUGCAGCGGUGUUUACAACUAAUUGAUCACAACCAGUUACAGAUUCCUUUGUUCCUUCUCCACUCCUACUGCUUCACUUGUCUAGCCUAAA